CAACGAACUUCUAGCGUAGAUCCGAUGCACUCCGCGAAUCCACAGGUAUAUUAAAUGGCCACUCUAUCUAACUAUUCAUGGUCGAGAAGAAAUCGUUUGAGGAACACUAAGGAAACACUCACUUGAGCCCACUCUUGAAUCUUCAUAGCCAACAGGAAAUGCUUCCAUUUUACUGUUGGAGAAUCAGUAGCACAGUAACCUCGUGUGUUCGUGUCGUUGAUAUCUUCGUACCGAAUUCGUACGUUGUGAAUAUGAGGAAUCGGAAAACAUCAUACUCUAGGUGCUCUCUGAAAUUUUUUGGAGCAGGCAGUAGACUUUUGAAGAGGUGGUCUAUCUGCGGAGGAUGAAUUUUAAG
rnacentral:misc_RNA from 1 species